GGAUCCAGACUUUGAUCAUGGCUCAGGAUGAACGCUAGCUACAGGCUUAACACAUGCAAGUCGAGGGGAAACGACAUCGAAAGCUUGCUUUUGAUGGGCGUCGACCGGCGCACGGGUGAGUAACGCGUAUCCAACCUGCCCACCACUUGGGGAUAACCUUGCGAAAGUAAGACUAAUACCCAAUGACGUCUCUAGAAGACAUCUGAAGGAGAUUAAAGAUUUAUCGGUGAUGGAUGGGGAUGCGUCUGAUUAGCUUGUUGGCGGGGUAACGGCCCACCAAGGCGACGAUCAGUAGGGGUUCUGAGAGGAAGGUCCCCCACAUUGGAACUGAGACACGGUCCGAACUCCUACGGGAGGCAGCAGUGAGGAAUAUUGGUCAAUGGGCGAGAGCCUGAACCAGCCAAGUAGCGUGCAGGAUGACGGCCCUAUGGGUUGUAAACUGCUUUUAUAAGGGAAUAAAGUGAGUCUCGUGAGACUUUUUGCAUGUACCUUAUGAAUAAGGACCGGCUAAUUCCGUGCCAGCAGCCGCGGUAAUACGGAAGGUCCGGGCGUUAUCCGGAUUUAUUGGGUUUAAAGGGAGCGUAGGCCGGAGAUUAAGCGUGUUGUGAAAUGUAGAUGCUCAACAUCUGAACUGCAGCGCGAACUGGUUUCCUUGAGUUCGCACAAAGUGGGCGGAAUUCGUGGUGUAGCGGUGAAAUGCUUAGAUAUCACGAAGAACUCCGAUUGCGAAGGCAGCUCACUGGAGCGCAACUGACGCUGAAGCUCGAAAGUGCGGGUAUCGAACAGGAUUAGAUACCCUGGUAGUCCGCACGGUAAACGAUGGAUGCCCGCUGUUGGUCUGAAUAGGUCAGCGGCCAAGCGAAAGCAUUAAGCAUCCCACCUGGGGAGUACGCCGGCAACGGUGCAACUCAAAUGAAUUGACGG
rnacentral:rRNA from 1 species